UUCCGGAUUGCAAGCCCACGAAUCCUCUUCCAACAUGAACAUUCAAAAUAAGUUCGGCAGAACUGCUAUUACCCAUUGCUCGGCAGCAGUCGUCGAGCAUACCCAAGACUGCUCCAAGUUGUGAACAUAACUCUGAAUUGUUACCAACUUUUUCUAUCUAACUACGAAUGUCUUCUGCACAUAGGUUGAGUCUUGAUUUGGCACUUCCUAAAUUCUGAGCAUGGAAUGCCCUCAUGGCCUGUUGUACUAAGAAAGAAACUCUUUCCAUAGACACAUCUUUGUACUAAUGGAUGCAGGACUAAUCCAUGGCCAUUUCCUGCAGGAUAAUGAUGGUGUGAUGCUGUUGCAAAGCAAGAUGACAUAAGUUGCGACAACAAUAGUGGUUAAACUGUCAUGGAGCUCCUUGACCAACGGUUUGAGGUCUGUUAAAUGAUCGGAUUGCGGAUUGGUUCAGGUCGGAGAGGCAGAUACCUUGGCGCCAGAAAGCUUCCCAUAUCAGGCCCGUGACAGAUAGGUAGAGCAUGCAAUGCUUAGAAGUUGUGAUGCAGUUGCAAAGAAUGCGUAAUAGGCCAAGGGUUGCAUUUGAAAACAUUGAGAAAUCCUUUCAAAAACCUCGUCUGCUGUCGCAUCAAAAUUCCAAUUGAGGGAGUUGGACUGAACUUACGCAUCAAGAUUCAAACAGAAGAGAAGUUCACUGAACCGCUGUUGACAGGAUUCGGCAAUU